GGGUGGAGAGGUAUAGCUACCGUGGCAAUACUUGCCGCAUGCAUAGAUCUUGGCUUCGAUGUCGAAUAUCUACCAUGUAAUUUUGGGAGAAAGAUGAACUGUGAAAAUGAUACAUAUAACAAUAAUUUGCAUGAAAGUAGUAUUGUGCUAAUAAUUAAGUUAGAUGUCUGUUGCUCAAUUCAUCAUAUAAUGUUAGCUAGGUUGCUUUACAAAAGAGUAAUACAUAACUUAUCAAUUACUUAGACC
rnacentral:lncRNA from 1 species